CUUGCUUUCCUGCCGGCGAGUGGCGAACGGGUGAGUAAUACAUCGGAACGUGCCCUGUAGUGGGGGAUAACUAGUCGAAAGAUUAGCUAAUGCCGCAUACGACCUGAGGGUGAAAGUGGGGGACCGCAAGGCCUCAUGCUAUAGGAGCGGCCGAUGUCUGAUUAGCUAGUUGGUGGGGUAAAGGCCUACCAAGGCGACGAUCAGUAGCUGGUCUGAGAGGACGAUCAGCCACACUGGGACUGAGACACGGCCCAGACUCCUACGGGAGGCAGCAGUGGGGAAUUUUGAACAAUGGGGGCAACCCUGAUCCAGCAAUGCCGCGUGUGUGAAGAAGGCCUUCGGGUUGUAAAGCACUUUUGUCCGGAAAGAAAUCGCACUGGUUAAUACCUGGUGUGGAUGACGGUACCGGAAGAAUAAGGACCGGCUAACUACGUGCCAGCAGCCGCGGUAAUACGUAGGGUCCAAGCGUUAAUCGGAAUUACUGGGCGUAAAGCGUGCGCAGGCGGUUGUGCAAGACCGAUGUGAAAUCCCCGGGCUUAACCUGGGAAUUGCAUUGGUGACUGCACGGCUAGAGUGUGUCAGAGGGGGGUAGAAUUCCACGUGUAGCAGUGAAAUGCGUAGAGAUGUGGAGGAAUACCGAUGGCGAAGGCAGCCCCCUGGGAUAACACUGACGCUCAUGCACGAAAGCGUGGGGAGCAAACAGGAUUAGAUACCCUGGUAGUCCACGCCCUAAACGAUGUCAACUAGUUGUUGGGGAUUCAUUUCCUUAGUAACGUAGCUAACGCGUGAAGUUGACCGCCUGGGGAGUACGGUCGCAAGAUUAAAACUCAAAGGAAUUGACGGGGACCCGCACAAGCGGUGGAUGAUGUGGAUUAAUUCGAUGCAACGCGAAAAACCU
rnacentral:rRNA from 1 species